AUACGUAGGGGGCGAGCGUUGUCCGGAAUGAUUGGGCGUAAAGGGCGCGUAGGCGGCCUGUUAAGUCUGGAGUGAAAGUCCUGUUUUCAAGAUGGGAAUUGCUUUGGAUACUGAUGGGCUUGAGUGCAGGAGAGGUUAUCGGAAUUCCCGGUGUAGCGGUGAAAUGCGUAGAGAUCGGGAGGAACACCAGUGGCGAAGGCGGGUAACUGGACUGCAACUGACGCUGAGGCGCGAAAGUGUGGGGAGCAAACAGGAUUAGAUACCCUGGUAGUCCACACUGUAAACGAUGAAUGCUAGGUGUAAGAGGUAUCGACCCCUUUUGUGCCGGAGUUAACACAAUAAGCAUUCCGCCUGGGGAGUACGGCCGCAAGGUUGAAACUCAAAUGAAUUGGCGGG
rnacentral:rRNA from 1 species